UUGUUGGUGCUGCCACCUACAGUGGUAGCGGCGUGUCGGUGGUCGGCGAAGUACCAAAGUAUCUUAUAUGUUUCAGGUUGAAGCCGUGAGUUAUUCUUUUGCAAGCUGAAGCAGAUACGAGAUGGUGCAGUAUUAUAUUUGUUAUUGAAGUGAGGACGCUCCACUUGUAAUAAUUAAUCGUUUAAUUUCUAUAAUAUAUUUUCUUUAUUUAAAAAUCGCUAGCUAAGUGCUCCUGAUUCUCUGCUGGUUGUUGCUCCGCGAAAGCGUUGAGAUUGUUGAGCUUUGGGAUUUGAAAAUAUUUUAUUUAUUAAAAUUGUAACAGGUUCAUAUUAUUUUUCGCUUUAGCGUUGUCCUA